GAUUCUUGAAUCUUGGUCCGGCACUUAAUGAGUGCUGCGCUCAGGCACCAACCACCAAUAAUUGGCUGGUGGAGUCCUCGAUAUGAUCCGCCCACAUGUAUCAUCCUAUGGGAAAUUUUGUAAUGGAAGUCCCAGUUUCAAAUUUGCUAAUCGUUCAUAAAGCUCAUACAACACACUCGCUUCAUUAAGAAUCCCAUAUGCUAGGCUAUCAAUUUCGGAGCUGAGAAAAGUGCAUCAUUCCAUGUUCACGGCUUUGCUCUUCGGGGUAUUAAAAAUCAUGUGUACAACUGGCCCACCUGUGUUUGAAUAACAUCAGUGUGCUUCUUCUUCUUCUUCUUCUUCUUCUUCUUUGAUAGGAGCAUUUUGAUAUAAGAAGAGUUUUUUUUAAAAAAAAAAAAUCAUUCUUUAUUGCCUUAUUAUUUCAAACCUCGCAGCCUUUUGACAAAAUCGUUCUUAAAGUUACUUUACUAUUAGAAUUGUAAACGAGGGACAUCAACUCUCGUGGAAAAUACGUCUUCAUAUCCAGUCCG
rnacentral:sRNA from 2 species